UACGUAGGUGGCAAGCGUUGUCCGGAUUUACUGGGCGUAAAGAGCGCGCAGGCGGUCGUGCAAGUCGCGUGUGAAAGCCCCCGGCUCAACUGGGGAGGGUCAUUGGAAACUGGGGGACUUGAGUACAGAAGAGAAGAGUGGAAUUCCACGUGUAGCGGUGAAAUGCGUAGAGAUGUGGAGGAACACCAGUGGCGAAGGCGACUCUUUGGUCUGUAACUGACGCUGAGGCGCGAAAGCGUGGGGAGCAAACAGG
rnacentral:rRNA from 1 species